rnacentral:snRNA from 1 species
CAAGGUAUACUUUGUUACUG